GAGCAAUCUUGCUGGAAGUUGUGGUUCAUGAUGGUGAUGUUGCAAUCCGCACCCUUGCCCUUACAUGCAGUUGCUUCAACAACAUCGUGUGCAUGGAAAGUUUCCGACGAGAGGCUCACUUUCGGUGGUUGGACAGUGUGGUGAACUGGAAGGCAUUUAGUGAGAACUUCAGAUCCCUGUAUACAGGAUUCCUUACUCAAUAUCCAGAUGCCUCCAGUGUGACAGCGUGUACAAGCAUUAUGGAGCAGGUUACAGAGGGAGAGGACAAAGAGGCGUGUUGCAGGGGUUUUACUCCUCUGAUGACUUCGAGGGAUAUUGUGGAAGCGACUGUUUUUAUGAGGCUGGAGCAUAGGCUGGAGAAAACAUUUAAUGUUUCAGAUUAGAUUCAAUUAUUUUCUUUUGUUAUUACUCGCCUUUUAGAAAAUAUUGUUCUUAAAAUAAGAAUUAGUUUAGUUUUGUAGCUAUGCAAUCAAUAAAGUGUUACUAACAGGUUUUUAUUUCUUGAAUAUUCAUUUAUAUACUUUUUAGUUUGUUUUUAUUACACUCAACUAAGAAUAUUGCAUUUAAAAUAAUUAUUUGUUUUAAGUGUUAUAAGUUUGUGGCUACGUGGUCAAUAAAAUUAUCCUAAUGUUUAAA